GACGAACGCUGGCGGCGUGCCUAAUACAUGCAAGUUGAGCGAUGAAGAUUGGUGCUUGCACCAAUUUGAAGAGCAGCGAACGGGUGAGUAACGCGUGGGGAAUCUGCCUUUGAGCGGGGGACAACAUUUGGAAACGAAUGCUAAUACCGCAUAACAACUUUAAACAUAAGUUUUAAGUUUGAAAGAUGCAAUUGCAUCACUCAAAGAUGAUCCCGCGUUGUAUUAGCUAGUUGGUGAGGUAAAGGCUCACCAAGGCGAUGAUACAUAGCCGACCUGAGAGGGUGAUAGGCAAAAUUGGGACGGAGACACGGCCCAAACUCCUACGGGAGGCAGCAGUAGGGAAUCUUCGGCAAUGGACGAAAGUCUGACCGAGCAACGCCGCGUGAGUGAAGAAGGUUGUCGGAUCGUAAAACUCUGUUGGUAGAGAAGAACGUUGGUGAGAGUGGAAAGCUCAUCAAGUGACGGUAACUACCCAGAAAGGGACGGCUAACUACGUG
rnacentral:rRNA from 1 species